GGCGGCCAGAUCGGCCACGCGGCAGACUGUAAAUCUGCCGCGCAAGCUACGCAGGUUCGAACCCUGCACCAGCCA
rnacentral:tRNA from 1 species